rnacentral:rRNA from 1 species
GCAAGCGUUAUCCGGAUUCACUGGGUUUAAAGGGUGCGUAGGCGGGCAUGUAAGUCAGUGGUGAAAUCUCAAAGCUUAACUUUGAAACUGCCAUUGAUACUAUGUGUCUUGAAUUUCCUGGAGGUUAGCGGAAUAUGUCAUGUAGCGGUGAAAUGCUUAGAUAUGACAUAGAACACCGAUUGCGAAGGCAGCUGACUAUAGGUAGAUUGACGCUGAUGCACGAAAGUGCGGGUAUCAAACAGG